GUUUUAAUAGUUUAAAAUAAAACUUUGGUCUUGUAAACCAACAAUGAACUUUACUUCUUAAAACU
rnacentral:tRNA from 1 species